rnacentral:rRNA from 1 species
UUACCGAGUGAGGGCCCUCUGGGUCCAACCUCCCACCCGUGUCUAUCGUACCUUGUUGCUUCGGCGGGCCCGCCGUUUCGACGGCCGCCGGGGAGGCCCUGCGCCCCCGGGCCCGCGCCCGCCGAAGACCCCAACAUGAACGCUGUUCUGAAAGUAUGCAGUCUGAGUUGAUUAUCGUAAUCAGUUAAAACUUUCAACAACGGAUCUCUUGGUUCCGGCAUCGAUGAAGAACGCAGCGAAAUGCGAUAAGUAAUGUGAAUUGCAGAAUUCAGUGAAUCAUCGAGUCUUUGAACGCACAUUGCGCCCCCUGGUAUUCCGGGGGGCAUGCCUGUCCGAGCGUCAUUGCUGCCCUCAAGCACGGCUUGUGUGUUGGGCCCCCGUCCCCCUCUCCCGGGGGACGGGCCCGAAAGGCAGCGGCGGCACCGCGUCCGGUCCUCGAGCGUAUGGGGCUUUGUCACCUGCUCUGUAGGCCCGGCCGGCGCCAGCCGACACCCAACUUUAUUUUUCUAAGGUUGACCUCGGAUCAGGUAGGGAUACCCGCUGAACUUAAGCAU